CGCCUGUUUAUUAAAAACAUGGUUUUUUAUUUUUUUUAAAAAAUUAAACCUGCCCACUGAUUUUAAUUUAAUGGCCGCAGUAUUUUAACUGUGCAAAGGUAGCAUAAUCAUUAGUUUAUUAAUUGUAAUCUAGAAUGAAUGGUUUAAUGAAAUAUAUAUUUUUUUAUUUUUAAUUAUUAAAUUUUAUUUAUUAGUUAAAAAGCUGAUUUAAUAUUAUAAGACGAGAAGACCCUAAAGAAUUUUAUAAUUUUAAAAUUUUAAUUAAUUUUAUUAUUAAAUUUAAAUUUAUUUAUUAUUUUAUUGGGGAGAUAUAAAAAUUUUAUAAACUUUUUAUUAAAUAUUCAAUAAUAAUUGUUAAUUUGAUCUUUUUAUAUAGAUUAAAAAUUUAAAUUACCUUAGGGAUAACAGCAUAAUAAAUUUAAAAAGUUCUUAUUUUUAAAUGAGUUUAUGACCUCGAUGUUGGAUUAAAAAAAUUUUUAUAUGGAGAUAUAUAAAUAAUAAGUCUGUUCGAC
rnacentral:rRNA from 1 species